AGGAAUAUUGGUCAAUGGGCGGGAGCCUGAACCAGCCAAGUAGCGUGAAGGACGACGGCCCUACGGGUUGUAAACUUCUUUUAUAAGGGAAUAAAGUUCGCCACGUGUGGUGUUUUGUAUGUACCUUAUGAAUAAGCAUCGGCUAAUUCCGUGCCAGCAGCCGCGGUAAUACGGAAGAUGCGAGCGUUAUCCGGAUUUAUUGGGUUUAAAGGGAGCGUAGGCGGGCUUUUAAGUCAGCGGUCAAAUGUCGUGGCUCAACCAUGUCAAGCCGUUGAAACUGUAAGCCUUGAGUCUGCACAGGGCACAUGGAAUUCGUGGUGUAGCGGUGAAAUGCUUAGAUAUCACGAAGAACUCCGAUCGCGAAGGCAUUGUGCCGGGGCAUAACUGACGCUGAGGCUCGAAAGUGCGGGUAUCAAACAGGAUUAGAUACCCUGGUAGUCCGCACGGUAAACGAUGAAUGCUCGCUAUGGGCGAUAUAUUGUCCGUGGCCAAGCGAAAGCGUUAAGCAUUCCACCUGGGGAGUACGCCGGCAACGGUGAAACUCAAAGGAAUUGACGGGGGCCCGCACAAGCGGAGGAACAUGUGGUUUAAUUCGAUGAUACGCGAGGAACCUUACCCGGGCUUGAAUUGCAGGUGCAUGAGUCAGAGAUGAUUCUUUCCUUCGGGACUCCUGUGAAGGUGCUGCAUGGUUGUCGUCAGCUCGUGCCGUGAGGUGUCGGCUUAAGUGCCAUAACGAGCGCAACCCUUCUCCCCAGUUGCCAUCGGGUAAUGCCGGGCCCUCUGGGGACACUGCCAUCGUAAGAUGCGAGGAAGGUGGGGAUGACGUCAAAUCAGCACGGCCCUUACGUCCGGGGCCACACACGUGUUACAAUGGGGGGUACAGAGGGCCGCUGUCCGGUGACGGUCGGCCAAUCCCUAAAACCCCUCUCAGUUCGGACUGGAGUCUGCAACCCGACUCCACGAAGCUGGAUUCGCUAGUAAUCGCGCAUCAGCCACGGCGCGGUGAAUACGUUCCCG
rnacentral:rRNA from 1 species